CAAAUUAAUAAGAAAAAGACAACCCAGAAGAAAAAUGGACACGUGAAUUAAUCAGAAACUCAAGAGGUGGCGUAUAUUUGAGCAUGGAUCUAAAUGAGGUGAAGGAUUGAGAUGGCUGCUUGGGGAAGAACUUUCCAGGCAUGAAUGAAUGCCUGAAUUGAGCAUCUCCACUUCCUGAUAUGAGAGAAGAGACGUAACAAAGAUUCCUCCAGAACCAAAAGGAUCCGAGAUAAGGCUAACUUGAUUAACGUGCUUAAUGUGAAUGCCACACCUUGGGUUUCCCAGGAAGAAGACUCUCAGAUGAAGACCAGUGUUUAGGAAGCUUAUUAGGAAUGCUUGCGGGAUCAACACCUGCUGGGGAAGAAAGGCAGCAAGAUUGGGCAGAGGACAGAGUUGGGCUAUGGUGCAGUCUCAGUGGAGGUUUCCAUCGGCCAUCGGGAGUUCUGAAGCUGGGCUGGCCCUUCGGGGUGGUCCCAAGUUGGGGGCUGGAUCUUUAUGCCUCGCCUUAGUCCAUCAUUAGAUGUUGGCCAUCCCAGGAAGGAGUAUGACCUUGGGUGAGGUGGCUCCCCUCUGCCACAGUAGUCCUUGGCAGCUGAGGGCUACUUAAAUGAUUUCAACUUCUUCCUUUUGUUCCCCCAGCACCAGGAGUGAUGGUUCCUCAGCAGUGGAGGGAGGGAGUCCUUCCUUCCUGAAGGGGAUCUGGGUGGGCCAGUUCACUGUUCAUCACCGUGAGACAAGGUGGCACAUGGUGAUGGGGAGCACAACAUGCUGGGGUGGGUGGGGGUGGGCAGUCAAUAGAUGCAGGUCUAAACCUUGCUGCAUUGGAGAGAAGAUAAGAGAAAAAGUUGCUGAGUUGGUUUCCUGGGCCUAUGUGCUCUCAGAGUCCUUUCCUUUUCUUAGCUUGCCCAGUGGUGCUGACACCUGCAGGCUGCAUCUCUCAAACUCCCCAUCAGUUGGUUUCUGGCAGGUUUGACCAGGAGAAACCACUGAUCAGACAUAAGCAGGAGGAAACCAGAGAAACCAGAGUAUUUCCAUCCUUCCUCUUCGCCUUGGGCAGGAACUCCAUUAGCAGCUUGUCUUCUCCCUUGUUCUAACUCUCCUAUGCAGGCUCACUGUGGUUCCAGCUCCCAUAAAGGAAUCUCUCAGUCCCUGGCUCUGGCCACACCACUGUGGUAGAUGUGAGGUACUCAGGUCCUCUUUAAGGAAGGACUUGCUGCCCAACGGCAGGUGCUGCAGCCAGCAUCCAGCUGUCAGCCCCUACAGGGUCAGCCUUACUUGCAGA
rnacentral:lncRNA from 1 species